CGAUGAAGCAUAGCUUGCUCUGUGGAUUAGUGGCGAACGGGUGAGUAACACGUGAGUAACCUGCCCUUGACUCUGGAAUAAGCGUUGGAAACGACGUCUAAUACCGGAUACUAGCUUCAGCCGCAUGGCUAGGAGCUGGAAAGAAUUUCGGUCAAGGAUGGACUGCGGCCUAUCAGGUAGUUGGUGAGGUAAUGGCUCACCAAGCCUACGACGGGUAGCCGGCCUGAGAGGGUGACCGGCCACACUGGAACUGAGACACGGUCCGACUCCUACGGGAGGCAGCAGUGGGGAAUAUUGCACAAUGGGCGCAAGCCUGAUGCAGCAACGCCGCGUGAGGGACGACGGCCUUCGGGUUGUAAACCUCUUUUAGUAGGGAAGAAGCGAUGUGCUUGUCACAUCAUGACGGUACCUGCAGAAAAAGCACCGGCUAACUACGUGCCAGCAGCCGCGGUAAUACGUAGGGUGCAAGCGUUAUCCGGAAUUAUUGGGCGUAAAGAGCUCGUAGGCGGUUUGUCGCGUCUGCUGUGAAAACUGGGGGCUCAACCCCCAGCCUGCAGUGGGUACGGGCAGACUAGAGUGCGGUAGGGGAGAUUGGAAUUCCUGGUGUAGCGGUGGAAUGCGCAGAUAUCAGGAGGAACACCAAUGGCGAAGGCAGAUCUCUGGGCCGUUACUGACGCUGAGGAGCGAAAGCAUGGGGAGCGAACAGGAUGAGAUACCCUGGUAGUCCAUGCCGUAACGUUGGAACUAGAUGUAGGACAUUCCACGGUUUCUGUGUCGCAGCUAACGCAUUAGUUCCCGCCUGGGGAGUACGGCGCAGGCUAAACUCAAGGAUUGACGGGGCCGCACAACGCGGACAUGCGAUUAUUCGAUGCACGCAAGAACUUACCAGACUGACAUAUAC
rnacentral:rRNA from 1 species